rnacentral:rRNA from 1 species
CAGUAGCCGCGGUAAAACGUAGGUGGCAAGCGUUGUCCGGAAUUAUUGGGCGUAAAGCGCGCGCAGGCGGAUCAGUCAGUCUGUCUUAAAAGUUCGGGGCUUAACCCCGUGAUGGGAUGGAAACUGCUGAUCUAGAGUAUCGGAGAGGAAAGUGGAAUUCCUAGUGUAGCGGUGAAAUGCGUAGAUAUUAGGAAGAACACCAGUGGCGAAGGCGACUUUCUGGACGAAAACUGACGCUGAGGCGCGAAAGCCAGGGGAGCGAACGGGAUUAGAUACCCGAGUAGUCCCUGUCUCUUAUACA